rnacentral:rRNA from 1 species
UACGAAGGGGGCUAGCGUUGCUCGGAAUUACUGGGCGUAAAGGGAGCGUAGGCGGAUAGUUCAGUCAGAGGUGAAAUCCCGGGGCUCAACCUCGGAACUGCCUUUGAUACUGGCUAUCUUGAGUAUGGGAGAGGUGUGUGGAACUCCGAGUGUAGAGGUGAAAUUCGUAGAUAUUCGGAAGAACACCAGUGGCGAAGGCGACACACUGGCCCAUUACUGACGCUGAGGCUCGAAAGCGUGGGGAGCAAACAGG